GCAGUCGAGCGGUAGAGAGAAGCUUGCUUCUCUUGAGAGCGGCGGACGGGUGAGUAAUGCCUAGGAAUCUGCCUGGUAGUGGGGGAUAACGUUCGGAAACGGACGCUAAUACCGCAUACGUCCUACGGGAGAAAGCAGGGGACCUUCGGGCCUUGCGCUAUCAGAUGAGCCUAGGUCGGAUUAGCUAGUUGGUGGGGUAAUGGCUCACCAAGGCGACGAUCCGUAACUGGUCUGAGAGGAUGAUCAGUCACACUGGAACUGAGACACGGUCCAGACUCCUACGGGAGGCAGCAGUGGGGAAUAUUGGACAAUGGGCGAAAGCCUGAUCCAGCCAUGCCGCGUGUGUGAAGAAGGUCUUCGGAUUGUAAAGCACUUUAAGUUGGGAGGAAGGGCAGUAAAUUAAUACUUUGCUGUUUUGACGUUACCGACAGAAUAAGCACCGGCUAACUCUGUGCCAGCAGCCGCGGUAAUACAGAGGGUGCAAGCGUUAAUCGGAAUUACUGGGCGUAAAGCGCGCGUAGGUGGUUAGUUAAGUUGGAUGUGAAAUCCCCGGGCUCAACCUGGGAACUGCAUUCAAAACUGACUGACUAGAGUAUGGUAGAGGGUGGUGGAAUUUCCUGUGUAGCGG
rnacentral:rRNA from 1 species